UACGUAGGGGCAAGCGUUGUCCGGAUUUAUUGGGCGUAAAGAGCGUGUAGGCGGCCAAGCAGGUCCGCUGUGAAACUCGAGGCUCAACCUCGAGACGUCGGUGGAAACCGUUUGGCUAGAGUCCGGAAGAGGAGAGUGGAAUUCCCGGUGUGAGCGGUGAAAUGCGCAGAGUAUCGGGAAGAACGACCGGUGGCGAAGGCGGCUCUCUGGACCCUGUCCGUGACGCUCAGGCGCGAA
rnacentral:rRNA from 1 species